rnacentral:misc_RNA from 1 species
GGAGAAUAUCCCACCAAACUCAUGGUUGGUGUUUGAUAUUGAAUUGAUUGGAGUCCGUGGGUAAUUCAGCUUAACUUAUCAUUCCUGGAAGGAAAGUCACCUAUGCAGAACUUAUCUUUUCCUCUUGAAAUUUGAGACUUGAACUGUCUAUUGACAUUGGCGCUGAGGCAGGAUUCAGACAGAGAGAUAGAAACUUGGGGCACUUUCUUCAUUACCAGGAUGGAGUGGCC